CGCGAAUGGCUCAUUACAACAGCCACCGUUUACUAGAAUAUAGUUAUCCUACUUGGAUAACUGUGGCAAUUCUAGAGCUAAUACAUGCAAAAAAGCUCUGACCGCAAGGAACGAGCGCAUUUAUUAGAAUAAAAACCAAUCGGGUUUCGGCCCGUAAUUUGGUGAAUCUGAAUAACUUUGCCAAUCGCACAGUCCUAGUACUGGCGAUGUAUCUUUCAAGUGUCUGCCUUAUCAACUUUCGAUGGUAGGUUAUACGCCUACCAUGGUAGUAACGGGUAACGGAGAAUAAGGGUUCGACUCCGGAGAGGGAGCCUGAGAAACGGCUACCACAUCCAAGGAAGGCAGCAGGCGCGCAAAUUACCCACUUCCAGAACGGAGAGGUAGUGACGAAAAAUAACGAGACAGUCCUCUUCGAGGUCUGUCAUCGGAAUGGGUACAAUUUAAAUCCUUUAACGAGGAUCUAUUGGAGGGCAGGUCUGGUGCCAGCAGCCGCGGUAAUUCCAGCU
rnacentral:rRNA from 1 species